AGCGAACGCUGGCGGCAGGCCUAACACAUGCAAGUCGAACGAACUCUUCGGAGUUAGUGGCGGACGGGUGAGUAACACGUGGGAACGUGCCUUUAGGUUCGGAAUAACUCAGGGAAACUUGUGCUAAUACCGAAUGUGCCCUUCGGGGGAAAGAUUUAUCGCCUUUAGAGCGGCCCGCGUCUGAUUAGCUAGUUGGUGAGGUAAAGGCUCACCAAGGCGACGAUCAGUAGCUGGUCUGAGAGGACGAUCAGCCACAUUGGGACUGAGACACGGCCCAAACUCCUACGGGAGGCAGCAGUGGGGAAUCUUGCGCAAUGGGCGAAAGCCUGACGCAGCCAUGCCGCGUGAAUGAUGAAGGUCUUAGGAUUGUAAAAUUCUUUCACCGGGGACGAUAAUGACGGUACCCGGAGAAGAAGCCCCGGCUAACUUCGUG
rnacentral:rRNA from 1 species